rnacentral:rRNA from 1 species
AUGGGGGAGGAGGGGGAGGAGUUGUGGGUGCUGUGGGAGAGGGAGGACCGCGGUGGCGAGGCGCGGCUCGACGAGGCGCUGCGCGGAGCGGCGUUGGGCCACGGCGGGGAGGCGAGUGGCCACGGCCGCAGCGGCGAGGCUGGGGCGGAGGAUGAGCUGGAGGACGAGGACUGGGACGAGGCGCGGCGGGAGGAGGAGCUGCGGGGAGGGGGCCGAGGCCGCGGCGGGUCCUCGGGUUCGGGCCGUGGCGGCGGCGGGUGGCUCGGCUUCACCCAGCGCAGGCUCGUCGGCGUCGGCGCAAGGAUCGCGCUCUACCCUACCCUAGCCUACAACGUCGCGAGGAACAAGAUCCAGCCAUCGUUUCACUGGUGGGAUCGCGUCGACGAGUAUGUUUUGCUAGGUGCCCUACCCUUGUGCAGGCAUGUACCACAGUUGAAGGCGCUUGGGGUACGGGGAGUUGUCACUCUGAAUGAGCGGUUUGAGAUUUUUGUUAAAUCAAAAGUAUAUCAGGCUAAUGGCAUUGAGCAUCUUGAAAUUCCAACAAGGGAUUAUGCUUAUGCACCUUCCCAGAAGGAUAUCUGCAAGGCUGUAGAUUUUAUCAACAGGCAUGCGUUGCAAGGUAAUACUACCUAUGUCCACUGCAAGGCUGGAAGGGGAAGAAGCACUACUGUGGUUGUGUGCUAUUUGAUCAAAUACAAAAACAUGACUCCUGAAGAUGCUUGGGCUCAUACCAAAUCGAUACGUCCUCGGGUUUGUUUGACAAGUACUCAAGAGGAGGCUGUUGCACUGUUUAGCAAGCUCAACCUUGAUGGAGACCUUCCAUUCCAGAGUUCGGUGGGGGCAGCAGCCCGUCCCAGGCCCAACACUAGGAAGAUUCAACCCGAUCCUUCGGAUCAUCCGGAACUGUAG